rnacentral:rRNA from 1 species
UACGAAGGGCCCAAGCGUUAGUCGGAAUUACUGGGCGUAAAGCGUGCGUAGGCGGUUUCUUAAGUCCGUUGUGAAAGCCCUGGGCUCAACCUGGGAACUGCAGUGGAUACUGAGAGGCUAGAGUGUGUCAGAGGAUGGUGGAAUUCCCGGUGUAGCGGUGAAAUGCGUAGAGAUCGGGAGGAACAUCAGUGGCGAAGGCGGGCAUCUGGGACAACACUGACGCUGAGGCACGAAAGCGAGGGGAGCAAACAGG